GGACAAGACAUAUCACCUGCCAUUUUGUCACUAAUCUCGCACCAUAUUUGCAUUACAUACAAGUAACAAUAACCUUGCUUUGCUGAGCAAAGUUGUUAUUCCUUAUAUAAUAGACUGGGUGUUUGUUACUUUGUACUGUAGAAUUGACGAUGACAAAGCUAACUUACCCAACAAGCCAACAUUACAUCGAACAAAGUUGUAGUCAGAACCAACCGUGUACAUAUUCAUAUGCUAGAACCUUCCACUGUUUGAAGUCAAUUAUAUUGCAGAGUUUGCUAUAGUGGAAUUCUAUCAGUAUACAAUCCCAACAUCCUUAGGGCUUUUCAAUAUCUUUAUUAAUCUUCACUAAAAACUUCCAUAAUAAUGCACAAGGAACAAUAAGCUUGCUUUGCUGUGCAGGGUUAUGAUUCCUUAUACAAAAGACUUGUUGUUUGUGAACACUUCACAAAUUGUUUGGAAGUUGUGUUUGUUACUUUGAAGUUUGAACUGUAGAAUUCAACAAUGACCAAGCUAACUUUGCCAACAAUCCAAGUUUAUAAUGAACAAAUAUUGUGGUCAGAACCAACCAUGUUGAUAUUUUAAUGCUAAAUAAUGUCUCACUAUUAGAAGUCCAUAUUGCUGUCAUAAUAAUCAAAUCUUUAUAAAUACAUAUGGCAUACUAUUAUUUCCAAGAACAAAUUACUGGGAUGGAGAUCCAGUCUGCAGAAUUACAUGUAUGAGGAAAAAUAAGCUAAUUUAGCUACAACCAAUCUUUUAAAUUGAAGCAAGGUUAUUAUUCCUCGUAUGUGAAGCCAAUCCAGAAGUCUCAGAAUCACAUCAGAAGGCAAGACGGAUCACCUGACAUCUUGGGGCAUUCCAGUCUUCACUGAUUGUCCACAAUACUUUAAGUUUCCAAUGCAAGACUUUUGCUUGAGAACAAAAAACAACAUGAUAUAAUCGAUUUCAAAAAUGAUAAGAUCAUCCAUCAUAGGAUAAAGCAAAGGGCCAGAGCGCUGGAAGUAAAUAAUGGAAAACAAAGUCAAGUUCCUACUUUGUUAGGUAGGAAUUAACCAAUGAUCAACAUCAUAAAUAAAUGGACCAUGAAGUUGGAUUUCACCAGAAAUCGGACUAAACAAAUCAAAUGAGGAGUAGCCAUUUUUCAAAUCUACUAGGCUACAGUGGAAAACGAAGUUUCCUUGGACAAGACUUACCUACUCCUUUAUUAAGAUCUUCGUUGAUGUAUACUUUUAAUAAUAGAAAUAAAACAGUGACCAAGAUUUCAAACGAUUCCAAAAAAUCGAAAGAUGCAAAGAUCAACGAAAAAUUUUACCACUGCCACGAAAGGCAUCAAU